GUGUCGGCAGCGCGUGAGGAGGUUCCUAUUGGCUGCCCUAUAGCUGACCUAUGGGGUCCCCCUGUGGGUUCCCCUAUGUGUGCCCUAUGUGUUGCCCUAUGGCUGCCCUAUGUGUGCCCUAUGGCUGCCCCAUAGCUGCCAUUGCCCCGCAGGUGUCAGCAGUGCGUGAGGAGGUUCCUAUUGGCUGCCCUAUAGCUGCCCUAUGGGGUCCCCCAUGCUGUGCCCUAUGUCUGCCCCAUAGCCCCAUUGCCCCGCAGGUGUCGGCAGCGCGUGAGGAGGUUCCUAUUGGCUGCCCUAUAGCUGCCCUAUGGCUGCCCUAUGGCUGCCCUAUGGGGUCCCCCAUGCUGUGCCCUAUGGGGUGCCCUAUUGGCUGCCCUAUGGCUGCCCUAUGUGUGCCCAACAUCGGCCCCAUAGCCCCAUUGCCCCACAGGUAUCUGCAGCCCGUGAGGAGGUUCCUAUUGGCUGCCCUAUAGCUGCCCUAUGGCUGCCCUAUGUGUGCC
ensembl:lncRNA